rnacentral:rRNA from 1 species
UACGGAGGGUGCAAGCGUUAUCCGGAUUCACUGGGUUUAAAGGGUGCGUAGGUGGGCAGGUAAGUCAGUGGUGAAAUCUCCGGGCUUAACCCGGAAACUGCCGUUGAUACUAUCUGUCUUGAAUAUAGUGGAGGUGAGCGGAAUAUGUCAUGUAGCGGUGAAAUGCUUAGAUAUGACAUAGAACACCAAUUGCGAAGGCAGCUGGCUAGACCUGGAUUGACGCUGAGGCACGAAAGCGUGGGGAGCGAACAGG